AUUGAACGCUGGCGGCAGGCCUAACACAUGCAAGUCGAGCGGAGCGGCGGACGGGUGAGUAAUGCCUAGGAAUCUGCCUGGUAGUAGGGGAUAACGUCCGGAAACGGGCGCUAAUACCGCAUACUAUCAGAUGAGCCUAGGUCGGAUUAGCUAGUUGGUGGGGUAAAGGCGUACCAAGGCGACGAUCCGUAACUGGUCUGAGAGGAUGACCAGCCACACUGGAACUGAGACACGGUCCAGACUCCUACGGGAGGCAGCAGUGGGGAAUAUUGCGCAAUGGGUGCAAGCCUGAUGCAGCCAUGCCGCGUGUGUGAAGAAGGCCUUCGGGUUGUAAAGCACUUUCAGCGGGGAGGCGUUACCCACAGAAGAAGCACCGGCUAACUACGUGCCAGCAGCCGCGGUAAUUC
rnacentral:rRNA from 1 species